AGAGUUUGAUCAUGGCUCAGGAUGAACGCUAGCGGCAGGCUUAAUACAUGCAAGUCGAGGGGUAACAGGUCCUUCGGGAUGCUGACGACCGGCAAACGGGUGAGUAACACGUAUGCAAUCUACCUCUAACUGGGGCACAACUUCGGGAAACUGGAGCUAAUUCCCCAUAGUAUUUCGAAAUCGCAUGGUUUUGAAAUUAAAAUUCCGAUGGUUAGAGAUGAGCGUGCGUCCGAUUAGAUUGUUGGCGGGGUAACGGCCCACCAAGUCUUCGAUCGGUAGCUGAUGUGAGAGCAUGAUCAGCCACACGGGCACUGAGACACGGGCCCGACUCCUACGGGAGGCAGCAGUAGGGAAUAUUGGGCAAUGGAGGCAACUCUGACCCAGCCAUGCCGCGUGAAGGAUGAAUGUCCUAUGGAUUGUAAACUUCUUUUAUCAGGGAAGAAACACCCGCAUUUAUGUGGGACUGACGGUACCUGAUGAAUAAGCACCGGCUAACUCCGUGCCAGCAGCCGCGGUAAUACGGAGGGUGCAAGCGUUAUCCGGAUUCACUGGGUUUAAAGGGUGCGUAGGCGGAUUAAUAAGUCAGUGGUGAAAGCCCCGGGCUCAACUUGGGAAUUGCCAUUGAUACUGUUAGUCUUGAGUUCGGUUGAGGUAGGCGGAAUGUUGCAUAGCGGUGAAAUGCUUAGAUAUGCAACAGAACACCGAUUGCGAAGGCAGCUUACCAAGCCGAAACUGACGCUGAUGCACGAAAGCGUGGGGAUCAAACAGGAUUAGAUACCCUAGUAGUCC
rnacentral:rRNA from 1 species